ACAGCGUAGGCUUUGCCCUGAUCUCAGUCUGACAUGUCCAGCCUCCAGGCACUGUGCUCCGGCCUGCCCCUGCGGCCCCUCCCAGAGAACCGUGGACGCUGGCCUGGGGUGCCCCACGCCCCAGUCCGAACCCCUGGCCUCAGCCCUGCAGAGGAGCAACUGGCACUGAGGAAUGCCCUCCGGUACUUCCCCCCGGACAUCCAGGAGCUGCUGGCCCCCGAGUUCGCCCAGGAGCUGCGACUGUACGGGCACAUCUACAUGUACCGGUUCUGUCCCGACAUGGAGAUGAGGGCCUACCCGGUGGAGCAGUACCCCUGCCGGACGCGCGCGGCUGCAGCCAUCAUGCACAUGGUCAUGAACAACCUGGACCCUGCCGUGGCCCAGUUCCCCCAGGAGCUUGUGACCUACGGAGGAAACGGGCAGGUGUUCAGCAACUGGGCUCAGUUCUGGCUGACGAUGACCUACCUGGCACAGAUGACAGAGGAGCAGACCCUGGUCAUGUACAGCGGGCACCCGCUGGGCCUCUUCCCCAGCAGCCCCGGGGCCCCAAGGCUGGUUAUCUCCAACGGGAUGGUCAUUCCCAACUACUCCUCCAGGACGGAGUAUGAGAAGCUCUUCGCCAUGGGAGUCACCAUGUACGGCCAGAUGACCGCCGGCAGUUACUGCUACAUCGGCCCCCAGGGAAUCGUCCACGGCACGGUGCUCACUGUGCUGAACGCCGGGCGUCGGUACCUGGGCGUCCAGGAUCUGGCCGGGAAGGUCUUCGUCUCCUCCGGGCUGGGCGGCAUGAGUGGGGCUCAGGCCAAAGCCGCGGUCAUUGUGGGCUGCAUCGGUGUGGUGGCGGAGGUGGACAGAGCGGCCCUGAUGAAACGCCACGAGCAAGGCUGGCUGAUGGAAGUGACCGACAGCUUGGACGGCUGUAUCGAGAGGCUCAGGGAAGCGAGGAAGAGGAAGGAGGUGCUCAGCCUUGGUUACCAUGGCAACGUGGUGGAUCUCUGGGAGCGCCUGGUCUAUGAACUGGACAUGACGGGGGAGCUGUUGGUGGACCUGGGGUCAGACCAGACGUCCUGCCACAACCCGUUCAAUGGUGGCUACUAUCCCGUGCAGCUGAGCUUUGCAGAGGCCCAGAGCCUCAUGGCCUCCGACCCUGUUGCCUUCAAAUGCCUGGUCCAGGAAAGCCUACGGAGGCACGUGGCGGCCAUCAACAGGCUGGCCAAGGAGAACUUCUUCUUCUGGGACUAUGGCAACGCCUUCCUCCUGGAGGCCCAGAGAGCAGGGGCUGACGUGGGGAAGGUGGGGGCCAACAAGACAGAGUUCCGCUACCCCUCCUACGUGCAGCACAUUAUGGGGGACAUAUUCUCCCAGGGAUUUGGGCCUUUCCGCUGGGUGUGCACGUCGGGGGACCCCCAGGACCUGGCGGUCACAGAUCAGCUGGCCACAUCCGUGCUGGAGGAGGCCAUUGCGGGCGGAGUGGACCCGGCUGUGAAGCUGCAGUACAUGGACAACAUCCGCUGGGUCCGCGAGGCUGCCAAGCACCGGCUGGUGGUGGGCUCCCAGGCGAGGAUCCUGUACUCAGACCAGAAAGGCCGUGUGGCCAUCGCUGUGGCCUUCAACCAAGCCAUUGCCCGGGGGGAGAUCAAGGCGCCUGUGGUGCUGAGCCGAGACCACCAUGAUGUCAGCGGCACCGACAGCCCGUUUAGGGAGACCUCCAACAUUCAUGACGGCUCUGCCUUCUGUGCGGACAUGGCUGUGCAGAACUUCGUGGGAGAUGCCUUCCGAGGAGCCACCUGGGUUGCUCUUCACAACGGCGGGGGUGUCGGCUGUGCCGUCCCCUGUGGAGACAUCCCUUAACUCUGCACCCAAGUCUGACGCGCGGGGUUUUCGACACCAGCUGGGUGUCCUGCAGUUCAACUCAGUUCUGACACUGUCGCCGGAGAUGACACCCACGGGUGGAGGGCUCAGUCCCACAGACUGGCCCCCACCCCCACCUCCAUUGCCCCCCACUUCUGACUCCAGUCGCAAGAAAGUCCACGGUGUCACCUGUGCUUCUGCCCGACUGGACCAGCCAUCGCUCAGGGUUCCUGGGACCCCCUCCUCAGGGUCCACUGAUUUGCUAGAGCAGCUCACAGUUUGCAGGGAACCCGUUUACUCGUGAGAUUACUGACUUAUCAGGGAAGAUACCAAAGGACAUGAAUCAACAGGCAGAUGAGGAGAUAUGUGGGGUGAGGACCCAAAGGAGCUCCUGACCUCGUGGAGUCCAGGCCCGGCCCGUGGCAUUGGUCUGGUUCCCCAACCCGGAAGCCCCCCAGACCCGUACUUUGGGGGUUUGUGGGAGUUCCCUUACACGGGCACGAGUGACUGAAUCGUUGGCCGACAGUGACUGACUCAGCGCCCCCGACCUCAGAAGGCCGGCUGGUCGCGUCGUGGACCCCGCUGGCGGCCAGCCCCGCCCUGCCCUCGGGUGAGUUCUGGAGGUCUCCUCCUUAGUGCAAUGGAAGACGUCCGUGCCCUGCUCAUCGCAGGGAGUUCCGAGGGUCUUCGGAGCUCUGGGCCAGGGACGGGACGAAGACCAAAUGUUUAUCUCUUACUACAAAUCACAAUGUCACAUUCACUGCGAAGAAUAAUGAAUAAUAUUUACUGCAAGUGGACCAUGUGGCAAGCAUUUGCUAAACUCUUUGAAUCCACUCUCUCACCUAAUCUCGGGCAAGAAACACAUUUAGUGACAAGGAAACCGAGACACCUGGCUGUGCCUGCGGGGGUCUCCUGGGGAGCUCUGGCCACUGCGGGUUCCUAGCCCCUCGCGGCAGCAAAGGGUGCCGCGGCUUCACAGAGGACAGAUCCCCAGGCUGCCGGCCAUCCCUGAACCUACCUCUGAGCCCGCUUUGGCCUGAUCAGGCCCGGCCUUGUCCUCCAGAGCCAAGUCCAAAGCGAUGCAGCCUCCGGGAGCGCCCUGUGGGCUGACUUGCCCUCAGGCCCUUCGAGGACGAAUUUGGAGCCACCCAGUCAUGUGGCCCUAAUUAAUGGAAAACGUGACUGUGGAUACACAGGCCGACAAAAUCCAGACGGGGACAGUGCCUGGUUACUGGGCGCCAGGUGUCUCGGCACUGGGUUUGCUGAGUUGGUUCUGGAGGUGACAGAGUGACUCAGAAGGAGGGACCCAGCUGGGGGUGGAGCUGGAUUUGGACCCAGACCCCUCGUGGCCCAGGAUCCAUGGCGUUGCUGAUAGGACGCAGAGGGCCAGGCGGGGCGGAACCGAGCACCUGAGAGCGUGCAGGGCUGAGGACCCAGGCACAUGGUCGCUGCUGGCUCUGCCCCCUGGCUCUGAGAGGGGGUGCAGCCCCCAGGCCGCCCCCAGGCUCUGACAGGCGCAGGUGGGGAGGUGCUGGCAUAGGGCCCUUGUCCUGGCUGCCCUCGAGGGCUCCUUUGGGGAAGGACCCUAUCAGACACGCACGUGUGUGUCUGAGCCCGUCAGACACUCCUGCAAGCCCCAAGGCGGGGUCAGUGGGAAAAGCGUCCCGUCCCGUGGCCUUUCUUCCUUCCAGCUCCAGCUGUAUCUUUUGCUCUGUUGUACGGAAAAAGCACAUUCUCAGAUGGGAGCCGCCUGACACUUCCUGACUCGCUUUCAGCUUUGACGCUGUUGGCUGGCUCCCGUUUCCGAGCUGAUCGGGGUCAGCGGCGGGCCCCUCUCUGCUCCCGGAGCUGCCCUGUCUCUGCGGAGCUCCAUUCUCAUCGCCUGCAGGCAUCUGUCCUGUGCCGUCUGCCCGGCGGUCUCUGCUGUCUGCUCCCAGUUAGACAGGGCGCCCUUUGGACUGUGGGCUGCAGAGCGGGGGAGUCGGGGGCCAGUCUGGUCUGGGGCAGGGUGGACAGCUCCGUCAAGCUGCUGUGGUCUCUGUCCGUCCAGUUCCAGGAGCUGCGUGGGGACAGGGCCGCCUGUGGGAGCUGAGGCUUCCCCCCACUCCCUGUGUUGUCACCGUUGCUGUCACCCCCGGAUCAAGCCCCAGGGCCCCGCGUGUGUGAGGAAUCACUGCGUGUAUCCGGCCCACGUCUUCCUCCAAACACGGACGUUCUCCCUCACUAGAGCCCAUCCGGAGCUCGGAUGUGUGCAUUAAGAUGCAGACUCCAACGGCAGGUUGGAGUAGGGGAGGUCCAGCGUCCCUGCCCGGGCCCCCCUCCGCCUGCUGGGCACUCGGGCCCCCAGGGCAGUAGCAGCUCGCACAAUCAGGAGUGUGGGUUUCGAGGCAGAUCUGUCUACACAGUUGCGCUGAGCUUGUUUCUCAGAAACAAGUGGUCGUGAUGACACUGUGCUCUGCAGGCUCGCGGUGAAGAUUCAGUGAACUAGUUAUAGUCGCCAGAGCUGCCGUCGUGCACGACGUGUGGGAUUUGGUGCUUCCUUCGUUGGCACGUCUUACACUGACCCUUCCCACCUGGGAGGUGGGGUUCUGCUUCUGUGUUCUUCUCAGAGGACGGUUCGCUGUCCCGCCCAUUCUGGGAGUUGCCCCUCACCUGCUGCUCAGUUGCAGUCCUCGCCCUCUUCCUGGCCUCAGGGCUCCUCCUGGCAGGGUUUGCAGGGUCACCUGGAGCUGAGCGCUUUGGCUCUCUGACCAUCUGGGAUUCAGGUUCCCAAAAUAAACGAUGUCAUCCUAAUCUCCAAAAGAGCCCCCUGGUCAGAGGACACGUCGGGGCCCUUACUUGGCCACUGUGGCUGCCGCCUGCUUUCCCACCUGCUACUCAGCACCAGCCCCCGACAGGUGAAUGGUGACCUUAACUCUGCCGGGAGCCUCCUCCACCCCAAGGCUGCGGGACUGCUGGGAGCUCAGCUGCAGGGCCAUGGGCCGGGAGUCCUUACCUCCUGGUGGGAGCUGGCUGGAGUUGUCAGUGGGGUCCGGCCGGGCAGAGAAGCAGGGGAGAGGUGAUCAACGGGGGAUUUGGCCUCGUGCUGGACGGGACCCUGGAGGCCGAGCAGAAGGCCAAGAUGGUGCUCAGCUGGGACGUCUCCAACGGAGUGGCCCGCCGCUGUUGGUCCGGGAACCAGAAGGCC